rnacentral:rRNA from 1 species
GACGAACGCUGGCGGCGUGCUUAACACAUGCAAGUCGUACGGUAAGGCCCUUUCGGGGGUUCACGAGUGGCGAACGGGUGAGUAACACGUGAGUAACCUGCCCACAACUUUGGGAUAACGCUAGGAAACUGGUGCUAAUACUGGAUAUGUGCUCCUGCUGCAUGGUGGGGGUUGGAAAGCUCCGGCGGUUGUGGAUGGACUCGCGGCCUAUCAGCUUGUUGGUGGGGUAGUGGCCUACCAAGGCGGCGACGGGUAGCCGGCCUGAGAGGGUGACCGGCCACAUUGGGACUGAGAUACGGCCCAGACUCCUACGGGAGGCAGCAGUGGGGAAUAUUGCACAAUGGGCGCAAGCCUGAUGCAGCAACGCCGCGUGCGGGAUGACGGCCUUCGGGUUGUAAACCGCUUUCAGCAGGGACGAAGCUUUUUGUGACGGUACCUGCAGAAGAAGCACCGGCUAACUACGUG